AUAGAGUAUAAGAUUUGCACAUGCGGAAGCAAACAUAAUGGCUUGCACGAGGGCAAGCAAUAGCUAAAGUGAAAGAACUAUCUACUUAACAUACAAGUACUAUGGUUAAAUUUAAAUUACAUACAUGCAUACUGCUUUAAUCAAAGUCUUUUACAUUCUAUUUUCAUCAUAUCUUUUUACAUCUUAUUUCUUCAAAAUAUAACUUUUGGCAUUUAAAAUAAAUAUUCUUUACAUCAUUUUCUUAAGUAUCUAUA
rnacentral:lncRNA from 1 species